GACGUGGGGGGCGAGCGUUGUCCGGAAUUACUGGGCGUCAAGCGCGUGUAGGCGGGAGAUCAGGCGGCGUGUGAAAGACCAGGGCUCAACCCUGGGAGGUCACGCCGAACCGGUUUUCUUGAGUCUGCGAGGGGCGGGUGGAAUGAUCGGAGGAGCGGUAAAAUGCGUAGAGCCCGAUCAGAACACCAGUGGCGAAGGCGGCCCGCUGGAGCAGUACUGACGCUGAGACGCGAAAGCGCGGGGAGCGAACGGG
rnacentral:rRNA from 1 species